UGGAAUCCCUAGCUUGCUUCAAAGCACAAUUCAGCUGCAACCUCUUGCAUGUGGUCUUUCUUGAUUAUCCCACUACCUCAGGAACACGAAAACUCCUUCAGAAGUGGUGGGGUAAGAAGAUUUUUGUCUUCAUUUUUGCAUCUCUAGUGCAUGAAUGGACACUUACCACCUUAGUAGACUGCUUCAUGGGUUGCUGUGCCCUGUCUCCAUCCAAAAGAACCUCCAUCUAAUUAUCUGAUAACCAAUAUGCAAAAGCCAUCUUCCUGUCAGUGAACUCUGUCUGUGACCUCACACUCCAAUUUGUGCCCUGGGACCUUGAACUUUCGACUGGUAAGCCCUG